GGAGGAAAGCAGGGGAUCGCAAGACCUUGCGCUCUUUGAGCGGCCGAUGUCUGAUUAGCUAGUUGGUGAGGUAAAGGCUUACCAAGGCGACGAUCAGUAGCUGGUCUGAGAGGACGACCAGCCACGCUGGGACUGAGACACGGCCCAGACUCCUACGGGAGGCAGCAGCGGGGAAUUUUGGACAAUGGGGGAAACCCUGAUCCAGCCAUGCCGCGUGAGUGAAGAAGGCCUUCGGGUUGUAAAGCUCUUUCAGCCGGAACGAAACGGUCACGGCUAAUACCUGUGACUACUGACGGUACCGGAAGAAGAAGCACCGGCUAACUACGUGCCAGCAGCCGCGGUAAUACGUAGGGUGCAAGCGUUAAUCGGAAUUACUGGGCGUAAAGCGUGCGCAGGCGGUUUUGUAAGUCAGAUGUGAAAUCCCCGGGCUUAACCUGGGAACUGCGUUUGAAACUACAAGGUAG
rnacentral:rRNA from 1 species